GAUGAAGAACGUAGUAAAAUGCGAUAAGUAAUGUGAAUUGCAGAAUUCAGUGAAUCGUCGAAUCUUUGAACGCACAUUGCGCCCGCCAGUAUUCUGGCGGGCAUGCCUGUUCGAGCGUCAUUUCAACCCUCAAGCACAGCUUGGUGUUGGGACUCGCGUUAAUUCGCGUUCCUCAAAUUGAUUGGCGGUCACGUCGAGCUUCCAUAGCGUAGUAGUAAAACCCUCGUUACUGGUAAUCGUCGCGGCCACGCCGUUAAACCCCAACUUCUGAAUGUUGACCUCGGAUCAGGUAGGAAUACCCGCUGAACUUAAGCAUAUCAAUAAGCGAGGA
rnacentral:misc_RNA from 1 species